rnacentral:rRNA from 1 species
GGAUGAACGCUAGCGGCAGGCUUAACACAUGCAAGUCGAGGGGUAGAAGAAGCUUGCUUCUUUGAGACCGGCGCACGGGUGCGUAACGCGUAUGCAAUCUACCUUUCACAGAGGGAUAGCCCAGAGAAAUUUGGAUUAAUACCUCAUAGUAAUACGACUUGGCAUCAAGAUGUAUUUAAAGAUUUAUCGGUGAAAGAUGAGCAUGCGUCCCAUUAGCUAGUUGGUAUGGUAACGGCAUACCAAGGCUACGAUGGGUAGGGGUCCUGAGAGGGAGAUCCCCCACACUGGUACUGAGACACGGACCAGACUCCUACGGGAGGCAGCAGUGAGGAAUAUUGGACAAUGGGCGCAAGCCUGAUCCAGCCAUGCCGCGUGCAGGAUGACGGUCCUAUGGAUUGUAAACUGCUUUUAUACAGGAAGAAACACCUCUACGUGUAGAGACUUGACGGUACUGUAAGAAUAAGGAUCGGCUAACUCCGUGCCAGCAGCCGCGGUAAUACGGAGGAUCCAAGCGUUAUCCGGAAUCAUUGGGUUUAAAGGGUCCGUAGGCGGUCAGGUAAGUCAGUGGUGAAAGCCCAUCGCUCAACGGUGGAACGGCCAUUGAUACUGCUUGACUUGAAUUAUUAGGAAGUAACUAGAAUAUGUAGUGUAGCGGUGAAAUGCUUAGAGAUUACAUGGAAUACCAAUUGCGAAGGCAGGUUACUACUAAUAUAUUGACGCUGAUGGACGAAAGCGUGGGUAGCGAACAGGAUUAGAUACCCUGGUAGUCCACGCCGUAAACGAUGGAUACUAGCUGUUGGGAGCAAUCUCAGUGGCUAAGCGAAAGUGAUA